rfam:Brassica napus, WGS project CCCW01000000 data, contig: 16151
GGAAUAUAAGAAUCCGUCUCUUAACUUUUAACUAAAAAACUAAGAACCGCCUUUUAAAUAAGAGUUUUAAGAACCGGUUCUUAACUUUUUUAAUUAAAAAUUAAGAGACGGGUUCUUAUAUUCC